UUUUUAACAUGGUUUCAGUGAACGCUUUAACUUCGAAAGUUGAUGUCUUCUUACUAACCGAGUAUGAGAGACUUAAAUCUUUUGAUGUGUUUUCUGGUUCUGGUGCCAGUCGUUGUGAUUGCAGCCAAGCAUCCUUUGAGAAAGGUCGAUUGUUCUUCUAUUGAAAAUGGCAAAUAUUUGGCAGAUCCAAAAAGUUGCUCCCAUUACUAUAAGUGCAUCAAUGGCCGUCCGCAUCGAAGAUCCUGCCACCGAGGAAUGUAUUUCGAUGAAAAUUU
rnacentral:sRNA from 1 species